UUGGGAAUUUUGGACAAUGGGGGAAACCCUGAUCCAGCAAUACCGCGUGAGUGAUGAAGGCCUUCGGGUCGUAAAGCUCUUUUAGUUGGGAAAAAGGGCAACUUGAUGGUACCAACAGAAAAAGCACCGGCUAACUCUGUGCCAGCAGCCGCGGUAAUACAGAGGGUGCAAGCGUUGUUCGGAAUUAUUGGGCGUAAAGCGCGUGUAGGCGGUUUUCUAAGUCUGAUGUGAAAUCCCUUGGCUCAACCAAGGACGUGCAUUGGAUACUGGAUCACUAGAGGACGAGAGAGGUGAAUGGAAUUCCCGGUGUAGGGGUGAAAUCCGUAGAUAUCGGGAGGAACACCAGAGGCGAAGGCGGUUCACUGGCUCGUUACUGACGCUGAGACGCGAAAGCGUGGGG
rnacentral:rRNA from 1 species